rnacentral:rRNA from 1 species
GAUCAUGGCUCAGGAUGAACGCUAGCGACAGGCUUAACACAUGCAAGUUGAGGGGCAGCGGGGAGUAGCAAUACUCUGCCGGCGACCGGCGCACGGGUGAGUAACGCGUAUGCAACUUGCCUAUCAGAGGAGAAUAGCUCAUCGAAAGAUGAAUUAAUGCUCCAUGAAACAGGGGUCCCGCAUGGGAAUAUUUGUUAAAGAAUUCAUCGCUGAUAGAUAGGCGG